rnacentral:lncRNA from 1 species
CACAAUUGUUUCCAAUAUGUUCUAAUGACAUAAUUAAUAUUAUAGGUGACUGAGAAUCUUCCAGAAGUAAUGAUGCAUGGAGAUUGGUGUGUUUGGAGCCAAAUCUAUCCAAAGAUGCAUUUUUGGAUGAAAAGUAGAGAGCCUCCUCUGAAGUUAGGAACACAGACAGUCUCAGGCGAGUUGUCUCCAGCAUGA